CACGUGGACAACCUAACCUAUGGAGGGGGAUAACCCCGGGAAACUGGGGAUAAUACCCCAUAGACUAUAAAUGCUGGAAUGCUUUGUAGUUGAAAGGUCCGCCGCCAUAGGAUGGGUCUGCGGCCGAUUAGGUUGUUGUUGGGGUAACGGCCCAACAAGCCUGUAAUCGGUACGGGUUGUGGGAGCAAGAGCCCGGAGAUGGAUUCUGAGACACGAAUCCAGGCCCUACGGGGCGCAGCAGGCGCGAAAACUUUACAAUGCGGGAAACCGUGAUAAGGGAACUCCGAGUGCCCGUAAAAUCGGGCUGUCCAUCUGUGUAAAAAACAGGUGAAGAAAGGGCCGGGCAAGACCGGUGCCAGCCGCCGCGGUAAUACCGGCGGCUCGAGUGGUGGCCACUAUUACUGGGCUUAAAGCGUUCGUAGCUGGUCUGUUAAGUCUCUGGGGAAAUCUACUGGCUUAACCAAUAGGCGUCUCAGGGAUACUGGCAGACUAGGGACCGGGAGAGGUGAGGGGUACUCCAGGGGUAGGAGUGAAAUCCUGUAAUC
rnacentral:rRNA from 1 species